UACGUAGGGUCCGAGCGUUAAUCGGAAUUACUGGGCGUAAAGCGUGCGCAGGCGGUUUUGUAAGCCAGAUGUGAAAGCCCCGGGCUCAACCUGGGAACUGCAUUUGGGACUGCAAGGCUGGAGUACGGCAGAGGGAGGUGGAAUUCCACGGUGUAGCAGUGAAAUGCGCAGAUAUCAGGAAGAACACCCGUGGCUAAGGCGGCUCUCUAGUACGGUACUGACGCUGAGACGCGAAAGCGUGGGGAGCGAACAGGG
rnacentral:rRNA from 1 species